UACGUAGGGGGCGAGCGUUGUCCGGAUUUAUUGGGCGUAAAGAGCUCGUAGGCGGUCUGUUGCGUCUGCUGUGAAAACUCGGGGCUUAACCCCGAGCCUGCAGUGGGUACGGGCAGACUAGAGUGUGGUAGGGGAGACUGGAAUUCCUGGUGUAGCGGUGAAAUGCGCAGAUAUCAGGAGGAACACCGGUGGCGAAGGCGGAUCUCUGGGCCGUAACUGACGCUGAGGAGCGAAAGCGUGGGGAGCGAACAGG
rnacentral:rRNA from 1 species